rnacentral:rRNA from 1 species
AUUGCCCUAGUACGGCGAGUGAGCGGCAACAGCUCAAAUUUGAAAGCUGGCUCCGGCCCGCGUUGUAAUUUGCAGAGGAUGCUUCUGGCGAGGUGCCUUCCGAGUUCCCUGGAACGGGACGCCAUAGAGGGUGAGAGCCCCGUAUGGAUGGACACCAAACCUGUGUGAAGCUCCUUCAACGAGUCGAGUAGUUUGGGAAUGCUGCUCUAAAUGGGAGGUAAAUCUCUUCUAAAGCUAAAUACCGGCCAGAGACCGAUAGCGCACAAGUAGAGUGAUCGAAAGAUGAAAAGCACCUUGAAAAGGGGGUUAAACAGUACGUGAAAUUGUUGAAAGGGAAGCGCUUGUGACCAGACUUGCGCCGGGCAGCUCAUCAGGGGUUCUCCCCUGUGCACUCUGCCCGGCUCAGGCCAGCAUCGGUUCUCGUGGGAGGAUAAGAACGGUAGGAACGUGGCCCCCCUCCGGGGGGGUGUUAUAGCCUGCCGUACGAUACUCCCGUGGGGACCGAGGUUCGCGCUCCGCAAGGAUGCUGGCGUAAUGGUCAUCAGCGACCCGUCUUGGC